UACGUAGGCAGCGAGCGUUGUUCGGAAUUACUGGGCGUAAAGAGUGUGUAGGCGGUGCUCUAAGUUCGGUGUGAAAUCUCCCGGCUCAACUGGGAGGGGUCUUCGGAUACUGGCGGACUUGAGGAGUGCAGAGGUGAGUGGAAUUCUCGGUGUAGUGGUGAAAUGCGUAGAUAUCGAGAGGAACACCAGCGGCGAAGGCGGCUCACUGGGCACCACCUGACGCUGAGGCGCGAAAGCGUGGGGAGCGAACCGG
rnacentral:rRNA from 1 species